GAGAUGAUGAGGCAAAAGGGAACAAUGGCGUUACAUACGGUUCAGGUAAGGAGUGUUGAAGACGGGUUUCGGGGGUCAUGGCACUCUGGAACUGUGAUUGCCUGUGAAAAUCAGGCUCGAAGAGUCCAAUACAACCAUCUUUUGUGCGACGACGGUUUGCAACCUCUCAUUGAUUGUAUAAAAGUCCCUCCUGUCAUUGAUGGCAUUGUUCCGGCCAUCAGGGUAAUGUGUAACCAUCGGGGUUUGAUAAGGCCAUUGCCACCACCGAUUGAUUUUACGAAAUGAUCUUUCCACUACGGACAGUGUGUUGACGUCUAUUAUAAUGCCAAACUGUAUUCAGAUGAAUAUUCCUUUGAGAAUGAUAAUUUUCUUUUUCUUAUCCAGUUCUGGAUUGUUGAGGUGUGAUUUGUUUGUUGAUGAACAAAUUUGAUGAUUAAAUAUUGUCACCAUAACUAGGCUACCUAAUUGCCAAACUGUAGGUUGUGAUUCUGGGGUCAGAUAUUAAAACUCCACAAAUUGGUUUGCAAGCCCUUGCUAGGGCCCUAUCUCAAAGAGGCAUCGCAAAGAAGAUACAGGUUAUUGCUAAGGCACGUGUGCCAAUCGUCAAAUUUGUAGAGAAGAGAAGUGGCGUUGCAUUUGAUAUAAGUUUUGAUUUGCAAAACGGACCAAAAGCUGCUGAGUUCAUAAAGAAUGCUGUAUCUAAGAUGCCCCCAUUACGGCCAUUGUGUUUGAUCUUAAAAGUUUUUCUGCAGCAAAGAGAGUUAAAUGAGGUGUAUACUGGUGGAAUUGGUUCUUAUGCACUCCUUGCAAUGCUCAUAGCAAUGUUU